GUGGUAAAAUAUAGCUGAGGGGGGAAAAAGGCAGUUUCAAAUCUGUCAGCUCAGUCAUGGGGAAAGCUAAGUAACAUGUAGAGUGGAGAACAACCAUAUCCCACCAUUACUAGAAGUAGAGCUUUGGUAUACACCUGUAACAGUCCCACAGGGCAUUCGGAAGGAAAUUGAACCCACACUGCUUCAGUUCAUUGAGUUCUGGACUUUGACUAGAUCAGAGAUCUCCAUCUCCAGUCCUCAGGAACAACUCACCCUGCAACCUUUCAAUAAUUCUCUACACCAACAUAGCUGAAUCAAAUGAUUGAAUGACAUAUUUAGCAUGUCAUCAACUUUGGCAAAGAUCUGGUAAUUAGUCAUUCAUUUAAUUUAGUUAUUUUGGAGCAGGGUAACAUCGCAAAUCUGCAGGACACUAACUUUCAAGUACUAGGGUUGUACUAGGUAGAUCCCUGGACCAGAUUAUUGCAACGCCUUGAUUUUGUUUAUUUAGAUAUCAGCAGUGAUUUUGCAGCUUGUGGAUCAUUGGUCUGUUUAUGAUCAAAAUUUUGACAGCUGGACAGAAUGCCUCAACUGUUUGAAAUAUUGACCUUAUUUGUAAAUAAGGUCAAUAAAAGACGAUGAUGUACUGACAAUACAGAAUGUUUCCAUGUUGAGACUUUUUAUCUCAUCAUAGGGAUCAAGAACUCUUUCAGGACAGAUUUAUGUUAUUUACAUCAAAUAUUCUAAUUACAUUCAGUUUGUGUUUUUUGUUUUGUUUUAAUGUUUCUGGCUUUAAUCUUUUCAAGUUUAUUGACAAUCAGCAGGCAAAAAAUAACAGAGGUCACAUUGGGAUAUGCUGAAAUGUAUUGCAUUACACGAAAGCAGAGCACCCUUGUCCUUUUUAAAGUGACUCGUUUUGACAUUAUGCUUUUUGAGUCCAAGUCCGCAUAGCAGUGUUUUCUUCAUAUUAUUUGAAAGGAAAGUGCAUGUUUGGAAUGUCUGCCAGUCUGAAUAUCACCACUUUAAUAAGAGCUGAUGUUGUUUAUAAGCAGAAGCUGAAACCAGCAGCUUUCCCAUCUAUGACUACUGAUUCACAGAGGAGAAAGAGAACUAACUCUAACUCACUAACAUCCCAUAAAUUUAGGUUUCACUUUUUAAAAGCAUUGGUUUCUUUUUAGCCAAGUAAUUUUCAAGUCUUGGACAGUGACUCUUUAAAUCAUAUUUAUUUGUUGUUAAGUCCAAGCAGAAAGGCUGUACCACAGAAACUGAUUGGCAGAUUACAAUGAACUGAAAUCAAAGACAAGCUGGAGAGGCAUAUGGGUAUGAUGUGACUGAAACCUGCAACAGGCUCAGUGGUGUGUAAGUCUCAUGUUAGACCACAGGGUGGCGCCUCCUUCCUAUUUCAUGUAAUAAUUCUGUGUAAGCACUGGAGUCACGUUGCUCAAAGAGAAGAUCAGAACUUAUAUUAUGCACCCACUACCCACAAUGCAUCCUGAGACACUGGUGGAGGUGCAAGCUAUGGCAAACAUUACAUGGCUGAAAUAGAACUGCGCACUGUAGCUAUUAAUAAAGUUAGACAAGGUUUUUAAUAAACAGGACAUUAGUCAUGUGGGAUGGUGACAUGGAAGAAGCCUGGUGGACACACAAAUCAUUAUUUAUGAGAGGAUAUGAUGGAAAAUCCCAUUUUUACAACUAUCUAGGGAUACUUGAUUAUUGACGAUAUCAUUUAGACAUAAUUUACCUGUAGGAUAUUCCAAAAUAACAGCGGCUCUAUGUCAGCUCAUAGACAUGCAGUGCCUACAGUUACGUUCCAUUAAUUUGGGCUUUUUAUAUGGAAAUGUAACAGUGGACCACAGACACUGUAAAAGGUUACAGUGUUUAGUUUGUCUGACUGGGUCAUUCACAGUGGGAUGAAAGGCUUGAGAUGCAGUCUGAUAAAACUGAUGAACAACAAUGCUCUGCUGUGUGUUUCCACUUCCAACAUCAUGGUAUUAAGUGGAAAAAAUUCUCCAAAAGUCAAAGUCCCUGAUAAGUACUUUGAUCUAUUGUUGGCACGUGUUGCUCUGUCAUGCUGUUUAUAUACAGUAUAAUAUAUAUACAGAAGCUCACUGCCUGGUGCUAGCUCUCUAUCGAUGCACCACACUGUUCACUGUUCAGACUCCUUCAACUUCCAGAAAGUAUCAACUAAAUGCUUUAUGAGAUACAGACCUCACUAAAGCUACACAGAAUUUUUCAUUCUUUUUAUUUACUUAUUUGUUUACUGUUUAAUUUGUGUUUUUGAUGUUGUAAAGUCUUGGGUGUUUUGAAAGGAGCUGACAAAUAAAAUGCAUUAUUAUUAUUAUUAUUGUUAUUAUUAUUAUUAGUUUCAUGCUUAGUUAAAAUAAAUUGUGUAAGGUAGAUCACCACUGUUAAGUAACAUGUCACCCGGGUAACAGUGGUGGCAAAAACACAUUGGUAUAAAACAACUUGGAAAGUAGAACCAUGCUUCAUCUCAGUUGCUAACUGGCUUU